UUUUUUUUAACAGCUGAAAUCCAUCAGCCCGUAACAUCAGGGAUUCUGAAUAAAAACUAUUUUAAGCUCUAAGAAUGUGGCUGGCAACUGUGGAGAAAGACUUGGAGUGCCUACAAUAAACUGGUACAAGGCACUUUAGAAAGAAGUGCUAUUCUUUUCUUGCUCUUUCCUCUGAAGUCUAGCCUGGCUUUUACAAGUAGGGGCCUAUGCUGGGAGUGAAUAGUAAUCAUUCCACAUCCAAGACAAGGGUAAAUCCUCAGAGGAGCUAAGGAACAUAUGUGAAAGCAAUUGCUGUGACUCCUUUUGAAAGAGCACAUCAAAGCCUUGGAGUUUGUGACAGCACUUUGCUCCAGGCAGUGGCUGCUAGCAGGCUCUGUCCUGUGCUCAUGUCUUGGACGAGGACAUUCUGCUGGAUGUUUUUAUUUUCCUGUCACUAUUUCCAUUUGAAUGGAAGAAUUUGCAACUAAGUACCAGCCACCACAAAUGAGCUGACAGAGGCAGAAAUUUUGCUGCACAGCAUGAUUGCUUUCAUGAUUGUUUGUCUCUGCCACAUACAAAGAACUGCAAAGGAACAGGUGUCAAAAUAAAGAGAAUUGGGAAGCCUUCUGAAGGAAACUAUGAUAAAAGAUAUUGAGGUGCUGGAGAGAAGGGUUUUCAGAGAAGGCUGGUGAAGAGUCUGGAGCCCAAGUCAUAGAGUGGCUGAAGGAAAUGAGGAAAAGGAGGCCCAGAGGGGACCAUAAUGUUCUCUGCAAUCACCUGAAAGGAGGUUGUAGUAAGGGACUGCAUUUUCCUUGUUAUGUCCUUGGCUGCCAAACCCAACACCCUAACCUCUGGACUACAUCUGCAGUUGCAAUGAAGUCACAUACUGAUGUUCCCUGAAGUUAACUCCAUCAAUAAGACUCUCUAGGAACUUAUUUGCAAAGAUGAUGCUCAAGGAUCUACUUCUUGAAUCUCCUCUUUGAGCUUUCCUCUUUCUUCCAGUGUCCAGUAGCACUUUUGAGUACAUGUUCUCAUUCCUCAUCUAUAACCUACAUUUUGACUCUCAUACACUUAAAGAGUUAUUGUAAAUUUGGCUCUCUGCAAAACUGAGGAUGAUAAGCCCAAGUCAAAGACUGAGUUUGAGAAAAGUUUUUAACAGUUCCAAACAACUUCCAGUAGCCCUAAUUCAUGAAUAAAAUGAAUAAAAGAAUGCUGAGGAUGUUGAGCAUUUCAGAAAAUCUUGAUCCUUUUCUCUAAAAUAUUGAAAGCUUACAGGAUAUCAAUAGUCUUACAGCUACAUCAAAUGCAGUAGGUACCAUAAUAACUGUUUCUUCAUAUACUCCUACAAAUCUCUCAGGAAUUUAAGAGAUUUCCUUGACUUAUGAGACUUUAAGUCUCUGGAUAAAAUAUCAAAUAAAAUGCAAAGAUACAGUUUAUGAAAGAUUGAGAAGGGUUAUAAAAUUUGAUUUACUGUAAAUAAUUCAUGAUGCCCUUUGCAGCACUGUGAAAUCCUUUUUGGCAGUUCUAGUUUUGGUUAUAAAUACUCAUGCAAUGAAUACAGAACAGGAUUAUAUUACACAGACAACAAGUUUUCUAACUGAUUGUACAUGUGUACUAGUGAUAUGUAUUUAUUAAGAGAUGUAGCAAACAUUCCACUUGAAUGUAUUGAAAUAAAGUUGCAACAAAUUUGGGAUGAAAUUGAAAAUGUCAUACCAAGUUCAGUGAAACCCUCCAAUUAUGAAUCAGUUGCAAAGUUUCUUAGUCCUGAAAAUUUUGAACUAUUUUUAUUACAUGUUUCUGCAAGAAUUUUAUUUUGCAAAUAUGCUUUGUGCCUACCUAAAAUACUAUAAUCUUUGCAUAUUUUUUCAGAGAAGGACUUUAUAAAUAUAUUUUUUAAAAGUCUGAAGUUUAUAUUUGUUCUCCUAGACAGUGUUCAACUCCAGGAAAGCACAAAAUUGUUGUGAAAAUUAUGAAACCAGAAACAAUGCUGUUGUGGAAUAUAUCUACCAUAGUUUUGCACCUUGUGCUUCUUAAAAGUUAAUACCAUGGAUUCUUUGUCUUGUUACUUGUGAUGUACUUGUACUAUUGCCAAAAAACCCCAAAACAACAAAAAAAGUGGAAAAGCC